AUUGAACGCUGGCGGCAGGCCUAACACAUGCAAGUCGAGCGGAUGAAGGGAGCUUGCUCCUGGAUUCAGCGGCGGACGGGUGAGUAAUGCCUAGGAAUCUGCCUGGUAGUGGGGGAUAACGUCCGGAAACGGGCGCUAAUACCGCAUACGUCCUGAGGGAGAAAGUGGGGGAUCUUCGGACCUCACGCUAUCAGAUGAGCCUAGGUCGGAUUAGCUAGUUGGUGGGGUAAAGGCCUACCAAGGCGACGAUCCGUAACUGGUCUGAGAGGAUGAUCAGUCACACGGGAACUGAGACACGGUCCAGACUCCUACGGGAAGCAGCAGUGGGGAAUAUUGGACGAUGGGCGAAAGCCUGAUCCAGCCAUGCCGCGUGUGUGAAGAAGGUCUUCGGAUUGUAAAGCACUGUAAGUUGGGAGGAAGGGCAGUAAGUUAAUACCUUGCUGUUUUGACGUUACCAACAGAAUAAGCACCGGCUAACUUCGUG
rnacentral:rRNA from 1 species